AACUUUAUAUGUUGGUUUAAUUUUUUUGAAUUUUAAUGAUUUAAUUAUAUAACUAUAUUUUGUUGGGGCGACAAAGGUAUAAAUAAUAUUAACUGCUUAUGAUUUAUAAACAAAAAUGUUUGAGUUUAAAUAAAUGAUCCCUUUUAGGGAGUAAAAGACUAAG
rnacentral:rRNA from 1 species